rnacentral:misc_RNA from 1 species
GAUGAAGAACGCAGCGAAAUGCGAUAAGUAGUGUGAAUUGCAGAAUUCAGUGAAUCAUCGAAUCUUUGAACGCACAUUGCGCCCCUUGGUAUCCCGAGGGGCAUGCCUGUUCGAGCGUCAUUUCACCACUCAAGCCUGGCUUGGUGUUGGGCGACGUCCCCUUUGGGGACGCGCCUCGAAACGCUCGGCGGCGUGGCACCGGCUUUAAGCGUAGCAGAAUCUUUCGCUUUGGAAGUCGGGGCCCCGUCUGCCGGAAGACCUACUCGCAAGGUUGACCUCGGAUCAGGCAGGGAUACCCGCUGAACUUAAGCAUAUCAAUGAGCGGAGGA